rnacentral:rRNA from 1 species
GACGUAGGGCGCGAGCGUUGUCCGGAUUUAUUGGGCGUAAAGAGCUCGUAGGCGGCUUGUCGCGUCGACCGUGAAAACUUGGGGCUCAACCCCAAGCCUGCGGUCGAUACGGGCAGGCUAGAGUUCGGUAGGGGAGACUGGAAUUCCUGGUGUAGCGGUGAAAUGCGCAGAUAUCAGGAGGAACACCGGUGGCGAAGGCGGGUCUCUGGGCCGAAACUGACGCUGAGGAGCGAAAGCGUGGGGAGCGAACAGG